GUGAGGAAUAUUGGUCAAUGGGCGCAAGCCUGAACCAGCCAUCCCGCGUGCAGGAAGACGGCGCUAUGCGUUGUAAACUGCUUUUCCAGGGAGAGAAACUUGCGCACGUGUUGCGCAAUUGACGGUACCCUGGGAAUAAGCAUCGGCUAACUCCGUGCCAGCAGCCGCGGUAAUACGGAGGAUGCGAGCGUUAUCCGGAUUCAUUGGGUUUAAAGGGUGCGUAGGCGGACUAUUAAGUCAGUGGUGAAAUCCUGCAGCUUAACUGCAGAACUGCCAUUGAUACUGAUAGCCUUGAGUUUGGUUAAGGUAGGCGGAAUGUGUAAUGUAGCGGUGAAAUGCUUAGAUAUUACACAGAACACCAAUUGCGUAGGCAGCUUACUGAGCCGACACUGACGCUGAGGCACGAAAGCGUGGGGAUCGAACAGGAUUAGAUACCCCUGUAGUCC
rnacentral:rRNA from 1 species